UACGUAGGGGGCAAGCGUUGUCCGGAAUCAUUGGGCGUAAAGAGCGCGUAGGCGGCCCAGUAAGUCCGCUCUGAAAGUCAGGGGCUCAACCCCUGAAUGCGGGUGGAUACUGCUGGGCUAGAGUCCGGAAGAGGCGAGUGGAAUUCCUGGUGUAGCGGUGAAAUGCGCAGAUAUCAGGAGGAACACCAAUGGCGAAGGCAGCUCGCUGGGACGGUACUGACGCUGAGACGCGAAAGCGUGGGGAGCAUACAGG
rnacentral:rRNA from 1 species